rnacentral:piRNA from 1 species
UUUAAAGUAUGUGUGUGCUUA